UACGUAGGUGGCGAGCGUUGUCCGGAUUUACUGGGCGUAAGGGGAGCGUAGGCGGACUUUUAAGUGAGAUGUGAAAUACUCGGGCUCAACUUGAGUGCUGCAUUUCAAACUGGAAGUCUAGAGUGCAGGAGAGGAGAAUGGAAUUCCUAGUGUAGCGGUGAAAUGCGUAGAUAUCAGGAGGAACACCGGUGGCGAAGGCGGCCUGCUGGACUGCAACUGACGUUGAGGCCCGAAAGCGUGGGGAGCAAACAGG
rnacentral:rRNA from 1 species